ensembl:lncRNA
GAUGUAUCUACACACAAGCUUUGCCAUUAAUGUAAAUAUCCACCAAAUAUCAGAUGCAAAAAACACUGAACUGAGUGUAAACUUCUCCAACACUAGUCCUAGAAACAGCUAAGAGUCUCAAACCAUCAAGGGCCCAGGCUUGAAGAAGAUCCCCAGAUUUGAUGGAACAAUUUUUUUUUCAGUUGCAAAUUUGUGUAUUUUCCUGUGUUUGCCUAUUGUGAACAGAGCUAGCCAGCAAGGCGCAAGAAGAAAAAGAAAGUGUGGACCUCCAAUCACAUGCCUCAACCAGCCAUCGUACUCCUGAUGGACCCGCUGCCGAUCAGCCACAGAACUCUGACUGCUCACCUCCUGGUGAAUCUCAUGACAAGUCACCAGACCAAAUGUUGAAUGGGGAGGCCCCAGAGGAGGAGAAAGAGGAAGAUGAAGUGCCUGAAAACGCCUGACUGCCCUCUGCCAAACGUACCACUGUAUUUGACUGUGGCAGACGACCCUGGCAACAGGGCGUUGCCGUGCAGAGUUCACACUCUCUGUUUAAACACAGCAGCUGACUAAGUGGUCCUUCAGUGACUGAAAAGGGCCACUAGACCUUUGUUUUUUUGGGGAUUUUUUUUUACAACUGACCAUGAAAAUAUCACAUUCAGAGUGAAAAGAUUCAUUAGAUAACAGCUUCUUAGCAGCUUCAUGGCCCAUUAACAGUGGUGAAAAUGUGUUGUGAUUUUAUUAGAGAUUCAGAGGAAUGCUGUCUGUGAAAUAGAUGUCAUCAUUUAAAUAAAAACAGAGGCAGGCAGGUCAAAACCAAAGAGUGUGGAGCGGCUUAAAAACCCUAUUCAGGGAGUUGGGAGACUGAAUGUCUGUUAGGAAUAAUAAUUAACUGAGCUGUUAAGAAGCAGUUGUCGAGGUUUUGUUAAUGCAGCUGAGCACAACAACAGGUGUGAUGUUUUAAACUUAUAAUAUGAGCGUGAAAAGUGAUUGCUGCUCUGUUCUUUGUUCCUACUCCUUUUUAUCUCACACUUCUACCCAUGAUGUCAAACAAAAACAUGUUGGAUGAUGUUG